rnacentral:rRNA from 1 species
UACCAGCACCCCGAGUGGCCGGGACGAUUAUUGGGCCUAAAGCAUCCGUAGCCGGUCAUGCAAGUCUUCCGUUAAAUCCAGCCGCUCAACGGUUGGGCUGCGGAGGAUACUACGUUGGCUAGGAGGCGGGAGAGGCAAGCGGUACUCAGUGGGUAGGGGUAAAAUCCUUUGAUCCAUUGAAGACCACCAGUGGCGAAGGCGGCUUGCCAGAACGCGCUCGACGGUGAGGGAUGAAAGCUGGGGGAGCAAACCGG